rnacentral:rRNA from 1 species
CUGAGAGGGUGACCGGCCAAAUUGGGACUGAGACACGGCCCAAACUCCUACGGGAGGCAGCAGUGGGGAAUAUUGCACAAUGGGGUAAACCCUGAUGCAGCGACGCCGCGUGAAGGAUGAAGUAUUUCGGUAUGUAAACUUCUAUCAGCAGGGAAGAAAAUGACGGUACCUGACUAAGAAACCCCGGCUAACUACGUGCCAGCAGC